AUUGAACGCUGGCGGCAUGCUUUACACAUGCAAGUCGAACGGCAGCACGGACUUCGGUCUGGUGGCGAGUGGCGAACGGGUGAGUAAUACAUCGGAACGUGCCUAGUAGUGGGGGAUAACUACUCGAAAGAGUGGCUAAUACCGCAUGAGAUCUACGGAUGAAAGCAGGGGACCUUCGGGCCUUGUGCUACUAGAGCGGCUGAUGGCAGAUUAGGUAGUUGGUGGGGUAAAGGCUUACCAAGCCUGCGAUCUGUAGCUGGUCUGAGAGGACGACCAGCCACACUGGGACUGAGACACGGCCCAGACUCCUACGGGAGGCAGCAGUGGGGAAUUUUGGACAAUGGGCGAAAGCCUGAUCCAGCAAUGCCGCGUGCAGGAUGAAGGCCCUCGGGUUGUAAACUGCUUUUGUACGGAACGAAAAGCUCUCUUCUAAUACAGGAGAGUCAUGACGGUACCGUAAGAAUAAGCACCGGCUAACUACGUG
rnacentral:rRNA from 1 species